GUGGCCGGCUAGAGCCGGGGGCUGGGCGGGGACCGGGCUUGUCGGUGAAGCGGCAGUGGCGGCGGCGGCGGCGGCUCGGCAGGCGGGUUCAGGCUUCGGGGGCCAGCCGCCGCCAUGAUCCUGCUGGAGGUGAACAACCGCAUCAUCGAGGAGACGCUCGCGCUCAAGUUCGAGAACGCGGCCGCCGGAAACAAACCGGAAGCAGUAGAAGUAACAUUUGCAGAUUUCGAUGGGGUCCUCUAUCAUAUUUCAAAUCCUAAUGGAGACAAAACAAAAGUGAUGGUCAGUAUUUCUUUGAAAUUCUACAAGGAACUUCAGGCACAUGGUGCUGAUGAGUUAUUAAAGAGGGUGUACGGGAGUUUCUUGGUAAAUCCAGAAUCAGACAGUCUCAUUCUGUUGCCCAGGCUGGAAUGCAGUGGCACAGUCAUAGCUCACUGCAGCCUCCUCCAAAUCUUGGGCUCAAGCAAUCCUCCCGCUUUAGCCUCUCCAGUAGCUGGGAACUACAGGCACAUGCCACCAUACCCAAUUAAUUUUUUUAAUAUUUUGUAGAAACAGAGUCUCACUGUCUGCUGCCCAG
rnacentral:sRNA from 1 species